ACUCCUACGGGAGGCAGCAGUGGGGAAUAUUGGACAAUGGGGGCAACCCUGAUCCAGCGACGCCGCGUGUGUGAAGAAGGCCUGCGGGUUGUAAAGCACUUUUAGUGGGGAUGAAAAGCACGUCACUAACACUGGUGUGUCUUGACCUAACCCAAAGAAAAAGCACCGGCUAACUCUGUGCCAGCAGCCGCGGUAAU
rnacentral:rRNA from 1 species